rnacentral:rRNA from 1 species
AUGUGUGCACCUAAGAGAGAAGGGGGUCUAGGGUUUAGAGACCCGCAAGCCUUCAACCAGGCCCUUCUUGCCAAGCAGGCUUGGUGGAUCCUCACUUCUCCGUCAUCUCUGGUUGCCCGUGUUCUGAAGGCAAGGUAUUUUCGAGAUAGUUCCAUUCUUACUGCUACUUGCCCCUCAAAUGCAUCAUACACCUUUCGUAGCAUCUUGCAUGGA